rnacentral:pre_miRNA from 1 species
UUAGCUCAUAUUUGUAUGGAAUGGGAUCGUUUGCCUACGUUUGCCGUUAGGGGGGCUGUUCCAACUGCAUACAAAAUUGGGCUA